rnacentral:rRNA from 1 species
UACGUAGGGAGCAAGCGUUGUCCGGAAUCAUUGGGCGUAAAGCGCGCGUAGGCGGCCUCAUAAGUCCGUUGUGAAAGUCAAAGGCUCAACCUUUGAAAGCCGAUGGAUACUGUGAGGCUAGAGUCCGGAAGAGGCGAGUGGAAUUCCUGGUGUAGCGGUGGAAUGCGCAGAUAUCAGGAGGAACACCAAUAGCGAAGGCAGCUCGCUGGGACGGUACUGACGCUAAGGCGCGAAAGCGUGGGGAGCGAACGAGG